rnacentral:rRNA from 1 species
GGACCCGCACAAGCGGUGGAACAUGUGGUUCAAUUCGAUGCUACGCGAAGAACCUCACCAGGGCUUGACAUGUAGGAAGUAGUGAACUGAAAGGGGAACGACCUGUUAAGUCAGGAGCCUACACAGGUGCUGCAUGGCUGUCGUCAGCUCGUGUCGUGAGAUGUUGGGUUAAGUCCCGCAACGAGCGCAACCAUUAUCUUUAGUUGCCACUUCUUGUUGUCGUAAGACAGUAAGGAAGCACUCUAGAGAGACUGCCUGGGAUAACCAGGAGGAAGGUGGAGAUGACGUCAAGUCAGUACGGCCUUUAUGUCCUGGGCUACACACGUGUUACAAUGGGGAGAACAAUGGGUUGCCAACCCGCGAGGGGGAGCUAAUCCCACAAAUCUACCCCCAGUUCGGAUUGAAGUCUGCAAUUCGACUUCAUGAAGCCGGAAUCGCUAGUAAUGGCAGAUCAGCAGGCUGCCGUGAAUACGUUCCCGGGUCUU